rnacentral:tRNA from 1 species
AGGUCUAUCAUAUAGUGGUAUUAUGCUGAGCUCCAACCUCAGUCACCAGGGUUCGAAUCCUUGUGGGCCUG